GGGGUGCUUUAGCACACCUGCCUUACAAGCAGGGGGUCACUGGUUCGAACCCGGUAUCUCCCACCA
rnacentral:tRNA from 1 species